CCUCAAAGAAGUUGACCAGUGAUUGGCUCAGGUGUUGCCGAGUGCCAUCGCUAUGCAGAAAGUGUCCCUCAUCUGGGUAGAUCUACAGUACAGAAACAGAAAAGAAUAGUGCUGGAAAUGGACUUUCUCUGUAGGGAGGGAGAGCAGGUAACAGUUUCCUCCUGAUAUGGUGGAGGAGCUUGGUGCCCUGGAACCCGGACCCGUGGCCAUCGAAGCGGAUCACAACGGUGCUGUAACUGCUCACCAGCACCGUGGCCCAGUCCACACGGAACUGCUCUGUCACCAUCUGUCCGCCAGGUGUUCCAUCCCUGAGGGAAACAGAUUAACCAAUGACCCCAUUAUAGCUCUCUGUGACAGGGUCCAAAGUCAGGAGUCCAAUGUCAAAACGGAAUGUGCUAUAAUUCUAAUAUAAUCCCUACUGGGGUUGGUGUGAUUCAUAGAUAGUAUGUUUAUAUCUAGAAAAACAUGUGUGGGGGUAGUUAUUGUCAUACUUACACUAGUAGCAGUAGGGGGUAGUGAGCUGUGUCUAUGAAACCAGCUGGCUUCAGGAUCUGCAUUGUCAGAGCUGCAAGAAACAAGAUUGUGUAUUCGAAUGUAUUAUGGAUCCCCAUUAGCUGUUGCCAAGGCAGCAGCUACUCUUCCUGGGGUCCAGCAAAAUGAAGGCAGUUAUACAAUUUAAAAAACAU